rnacentral:lncRNA from 1 species
AAUUUAUAAAUAACAGAAAUAUAAGACAUUAUUGUCUAUGGAUGGAUAGUGUACUUUGGAAGAGUAUCUCAUUUUUUGAAUAUGUGCCAAGUCAUAUAUGAAAUAAGACUGCCAAAUACAUAGCGAAAAUACUGAGUUGUAGUUAAAGCAGCUGAACUCUGUCUGAGGAUUUGAAUUUGAUCUGCUGCUUUCUUAUGAUUUCUUGCUUCCAGUUUUCUUCUUUACUAAGUUUUAUGACACAAUAGUUGUAAAUUUUUCAACUAUUGAAUUUGAGAUAGCAAGACAUAACAAUCAAAACUUUCUAGUUUUCUGGCCUCUAAUUGGAAUCAGUAGGAGAUUUAAAACGUGUAGUUAGCGGUGUUAGGCUAGGAAAGGAACCCACAGAAACACAAAAUGAGAGUGUGCUUUUUACUGUAAUUUAAGUGCAUGUCAUAACUAAGCUGUGAAAUGAGAAUUAUUAUCUUAUUUUGGGAAAGUUUAGUAAAAAUGAAGUCAUUUUUCAAGUGAUAGAUUUGCAGGAAAAGAAAAUUUGCAUUCACAGCGAAGUAUAAAUAGUUUAUAUAAGCAAACCAAGAAGCAUGUACCACCAUGAGCAGAAAACAGUCUCUUUUUUAAGCCAUCAUUGUCGGCUUUGUUGGCCCAGUGAUCCAGGUGUAAGGUCGUACCGCAGGAAAACUUGGCAAGGGCUUAUGUAAUGAGAGACUGUACCACCCUGAAUUUGUACUGGACAGCUGAUUGUCCUGGGCUUGGCAGCUGGAAGCUGACUGGGGCCAGAAACAGGAGCAGAAGGGGCCCUCCGGGGCAGCCUCACGGCCCAGCCGGUCCCGCAGCCGGGGCCAGCGGGGCCCCUCGGCCCCAGCCUCGGCAGCUCCCUGGGCCGCAGCCCGGCCAGGGGAGGAGAUGGGGACCUGUGGAUAGGCCCAGUGCAGCAGUGCCCACGGUUUCCUCUCAUUUUCUGUGAAGGAUAUGUAUUGUGGAGAUUCAGUGUACCUCCAGGUCUGCAGCUGGCACAUUUACUCUGCAGUUUUCGAUCCCAUCCCAGCCCCAUGAGUAGUGGCCAGAUGCCAGAACUAGAAGAGGAGCUUACAUGUCCUAGCAGUGGAUGUCAUUUCUGCACACCACAUUUCAGGAAUCCCACUACAACUGUAAUGCUUUUGAAUUAUUAUCUGCACUGGGUAAUUGCUAAGUUGGUAAAAUUGAGUUUUUAAACCAAACAUCACAGUCUUCCUUCACUGAUUAACAAAAAUCGAAAUACCGUUCCUCCACAAGCCUAAUCUAAUAAGAAGUGUAAAAUUCUUCCCAAACUAAAAUAUGCCUAAAAUGAAUUCUGAAAAUAAAGUGCUUGAAGACUGCUUAACUUUAGUCA